rnacentral:rRNA from 1 species
UACGGAGGGUGCAAGCGUUAUCCGGAUUCACUGGGUUUAAAGGGUGCGUAGGCGGGCAGUUAAGUCCGUGGUGAAAUCUCUGAGCUUAACUCAGAAACUGCCAUGGAUACUAUCUGUCUUGAAUAUUGUGGAGGUAAGCGGAAUAUGUCAUGUAGCGGUGAAAUGCUUAGAUAUGACAUAGAACACCAAUUGCGAAGGCAGCUCGUUACACGAAGAUUGACUCUGAGGCACGAAAGCGUGGGGAUCAAACCGG